UACGUAGGGGGCAAGCGUUGUCCGGAAUCAUUGGGCGUAAAGCGCGUGUAGGCGGUCCGGUAAGUCCGCUGUGAAAGUCGGGGGCUCAACCCUCGGAUGCCGGUGGAUACUGUCGGGCUUGAGUACGGAAGAGGCGAGUGGAAUUCCUGGUGUAGCGGUGAAAUGCGCAGAUAUCAGGAGGAACACCGGUGGCGAAGGCGGGUCUCUGGGCCGAAAUUGACGCUGAGGAGCGAAAGCGUGGGGAGCAAACAGG
rnacentral:rRNA from 1 species